rnacentral:pre_miRNA from 1 species
UGGAAUGGGGUGUACCAUGACUGUUUUAUUGCAAUCAAUCAUGGCAUAUCCUCUUCCCU